UCUUCGGAUCUAGUGGCGCGCGGGUGCGUAACGCGUGGGAAUCUGCCCUUGGGUUCGGAAUAACAGCGGGAAACUGCUGCUAAUACCGGAUGAUGACGAAAGUCCAAAGAUUUAUCGCCCAAGGAUGAGCCCGCGUAGGAUUAGGUAGUUGGUGGGGUAAAGGCCUACCAAGCCUACGAUCCUUAGCUGGUCUGAGAGGAUGAUCAGCCACACUGGGACUGAGACACGGCCCAGACUCCUACGGGAGGCAGCAGUAGGGAAUAUUGGACAAUGGGGGCAACCCUGAUCCAGCAAUGCCGCGUGAGUGAUGAAGGCCUUAGGGUUGUAAAGCUCUUUUACCCGGGAUGAUAAUGACAGUACCGGGAGAAUAAGCCCCGGCUAACUCCGUGCCAGCAGCCGCGGUAAUACGGAGGGGGCUAGCGUUGUUCGGAAUUACUGGGCGUAAAGCGCACGUAGGCGGCGAUUUAAGUCAGAGGUGAAAGCCCGGGGCUCAACCCCGGAACUGCCUUUGAGACUGGAUUGCUAGAAUCUUGGAGAGGCGGGUGGAAUUCCGAGUGUAGAGGUGAAAUUCGUAGAUAUUCGGAAGAACACCAGUGGCGAAGGCGGCCCGCUGGACAAGUAUUGACGCUGAGGUGCGAAAGCGUGGGGAGCAAAC
rnacentral:rRNA from 1 species